ensembl:lncRNA
GAUUGCACUUCAUAAGUGAAAAACUAAUGUGGGGGCCGGGGAUUUAGCUCAGUGGUUCCGGCGUCUGCCUCGCAAGCGCAAGGUCCCAAGUUCCAUCCCCGGUACCAAAAACAAAACAAAACAAAAAAAAAACCACAUUGCUGUUCAUCUGUUAAUCCUCCUCCAAAUAUUCCUUGACUCCAACCCCCACCGUUCUUGCCACUUCCUGAAGCAGUUCUACAAGAGACACUCUUCCAUGAGUGUCUUUAGUGGUGCUGUUGCGGCUGCCACAAUGUCCUAAAUCAUAUCCAAACAUUGACCUCCAUGGUAAUUUUGACUUUGGGGAAGAGCCAAAGGCCACACAGGCAAAUCUGGUGUAUCCUGUAUACAAUAUAAGGGACAGAAAGAGGCUUGUCGUGUUUCUUGCUUGCUUUGCUACCUCCUGCCACCAUGAACGUCUUCUCUCUGCAAUGCCUGUCUGCCAUGAGCCACUCUCGCUUGGAGUCAGCCAAACAUGGAUUGAAACCGCGGCAAACUGAAUCUUCAUACUCAUUUCCUUAGUGGUGGUACCAGUUUACACUCCUACCAACAGUGAAGAAGAGUUCCUUUUUCUCCAAGGCUUCUCCAGCAUUUGGUUGUUUUGUGGGCUAGUAUCAGUUCUGUUUUGGAAAAAGUCCCAUGUGCUGCUGAGCAGGUGUAUUCUGAUGCUGUUGGGUGAAACACUCUAUAAACACUACUGACAUUACUAAAUAUCUUAAUGCACACGACAAGAUUGCUUCAAUGAAAACAGAAGUGUGAGAACUGCAUGAAGAGUUGAUCACAGGACUAUGAGUCAUCAUGCCAGGGCCUUUAGGUUAUAAAAAUUACAGCAUGGAUAAAGAAUAUUAAUCAUCAGCUACCUUUCUUCAACCAAAAACUCCUGGAAUAUCUUUAAUGCUUCAGAGAUGAGCAGCAGACAAUUUAAAAGAAAGGAUAAAGGAUGCAACCGAGCUGUUUCUAUGUGACUCGAGUCUUGAAAGAUUGUAUUGUGGCACAAUAAAAAUGUCCUUGCAGGCUGUAGAGGUAGAAAAUUGGGUUAACCUAUCUUUAAUACAGAAACUAAUUUUCAGUAAUACCCACAUUUUUAGUCUUGUGUUUUCUUUUUCUUUUUUUUUUUUUUUUUGGUGCCAGGAUCAAACUCGGGACCUUGCGUUUUGUGAGGCAGAUGCUGAACCACUGAGCUAAAUCUCCUGCCCUAGUCUUGUGUUUUCUUAUUUAUUUAAUGUUCAGGGCUGCUGUGGAUUGUAUUCAGGGCCUCAGGCAAGCUAAGCACACACCAAAGCACUGAGCUAUACCACCAGCCCCUCCCCUCUUUUUUUUGUACCGGGAUCGAAGUCGGAACCUUGCGCUGCCUAGGCAGGCACCUGAACCACUGAGCUAAAUCCCCACCCCCGCUCCUUUUGCUUUUUUGAGAAAAGGUCUGGCUAUACAGUUCAGGCUGUCCUUGAACUCACUGCAGUUCUCCUGCCUCAUCCACCCAAGUGCUGAGAUGAUAGGCAUGCACCACGCCACCUGGCUUCUCUUAACCUUUUGAUGUAGCUUUGGCAGAUAGAAUCAUGCUUGAAGCUAGAGGCUG